GACGAACGCUGGCGGCGUGCUUAACACAUGCAAGUCGAACGAUGAACCACUUCGGUGGGGAUUAGUGGCGAACGGGUGAGUAACACGUGGGCAAUCUGCCCUUCACUCUGGGACAAGCCCUGGAAACGGGGUCUAAUACCGGAUAACACUCUUGCUCUCAUGGGCAGGGGUUAAAAGCUCCGGCGGUGAAGGAUGAGCCC
rnacentral:rRNA from 1 species